rnacentral:rRNA from 1 species
AAGACCUUGCGCUUUUGGAGCGGCCGAUGCCUGAUUAGCUUGUUGGUAAGGUAAAAGCUUACCAAGGCUUCGAUCAGUAGCUGGUCUGAGAGGACGACCAGCCACACUGGGACUGAGACACGGCCCAGACUCCUACGGGAGGCAGCAGUGGGGAAUUUUGGACAAUGGGGGCAACCCUGAUCCAGCCAUGCCGCGUGAGUGAAGAAGGCCUUCGGGUUGUAAAGCUCUUUCAGCCGGAACGAAACGGUUACGGUUAAUACCCGUGACUACUGACGGUACCGGAAGAAGAAGCACCGGCUAACUACGUGCCAGCAGCCGCGGUAAUACGUAGGGUGCAAGCGUUAAUCGGAAUUACUGGGCGUAAAGCGUGCGCAGGUGGUUUUGUAAGUCAGAUGUGAAAGCCCCGGGCUCAACCUGGGAACU